CUACGUGCCAGCAGCCGCGGUAAUACGGAGGAUGCGAGCGUUAUCCGGAUUUAUUGGGUUUAAAGGGAGCGUAGGCGGAUUAUUAAGUCAGUGGUGAAAGACGGUGGCUCAACCAUCGUUAGCCAUUGAAACUGGUAGUCUUGAGUGCAGACAGGGAUGCUGGAACUCGUGGUGUAGCGGUGAAAUGCUUAGAUAUCACGAUGAACUCCGAUCGCGAAGGCAGGUGUCCGGGCUGCAACUGACGCUGAGGCUCGAAAGUGUGGGUAUCAAACAGGAUUAGAUACCCUGGUAGUCCACACAGUAAACGAUGUAUACUCGCGGUUUGCGAUAGACAGUAAGCCGCCAAGCGAAAGCAUUAAGUAUACCACCUGGGGAGUACGCCGGCAACGGUGAAACUCAAAGGAAUUGACGGGGGCCCGCACAAGCGGAGGAACAUGUGGUUUAAUUCGAUGAUACGCGAGGAACCUUACCCGGGCUUGAAC
rnacentral:rRNA from 1 species